rnacentral:rRNA from 12 species
GCCUACCGCCACACCAUCCUGCGAGUGCCCUCCCCAGUCUCGGAAGCUAGGCGGGGCGGGGCUUGGUCAGUACUUGGAUGGGAGGACGCCUGGAAUGCAAAGUUCUGUAGGCU